AGUCAACCUAACCUAUGGACGGGAAUAACCUCGGGAAACUGAGAAUAAUGCCCGAUAGAACAUUAUGCCUGGAAUGGUUUAUGUUCCAAAUGAUUUAUCGCCGUAGGAUGGGACUGCGGCCUAUCAGUUUGUUGGUGAGGUAAUGGCCCACCAAGACUAUUACAGGUACGGGCUCUGAGAGGAGUGGCCCGGAGAUGGGUACUGAGACACGGACCCAGGCCCUAUGGGGCGCAGCAGGCGAGAAAACUUUGCAAUGUGCGAAAGCACGACAAGGUUAAUCCGAGUGGUUUCUGCUAAAGAAACCUUUUGUCAGUCCUAGAAACACUGAUGAAUAAGGGGUGGGCAAGUUCUGGUGUCAGCCGCCGCGGUAAAACCAGCACCUCAAGUGGUCAGGAUGAUUACUGGGCCUAAAGCAUCCGUAGCCGGCUCUGUAAGUUUUCGGUUAAAUCUGUACGCUCAACGUACAGGCUGCCGGGAAUACUGCAGAGCUAGGGAGUGGGAGAGGUAGACGGUACUCGGUAGGAAGGGGUAAAAUCCUUUGAUCUAUUGAUGACCACCUGUGGCGAAGGCGGUCUACCAGAACACGUCCGACGGUGAGGGAUGAAAGCUGGGGGAGCAAACCGGAUUAGAUACCCGGGUAGUCCCAGCUGUAAACUAUGCAAACUCAGUGAUGCAUUGGCUUGUGGCCAAUGCAGUGCUGCAGGGAAGCCGUUAAGUUUGCCGCCUGGGAAGUACGUACGCAAGUAUGAAACUUA
rnacentral:rRNA from 1 species